ACGCUCGACACCUACGGGAGGCNGCAGUGGGGAAUAUUGCACAAUGGGGGAAACCCGUGAUGCAGCGACGCCGCGUGAGCGAAGAAGUAUUUCGGUAUGUAAAGCUCUAUCAGCAGGGAAGAAACUGACGGUACCUGACUAAGAAGCACCGGCUAAAUACGUGCCAGCAGCCGGGGUAAUCUGAGCGGGCUGGCAAGGC
rnacentral:rRNA from 1 species